GUCCUAACAAAGUCUCGUGCCAGCAGUUGCGGUAAGACGAGGAGGGCAAGCGUUAAUCAUCAUAAAUAGGUCUAAAGGGUACGUAGAUGAAUUAAUAAGUCAAUUAAUGAAACUAUUAGUUUAGAGUUUUAUAGAGAAUAUUAGUACUUAAAGAGUAUGGAUGAAAUCAGUCGAUACUUUAAGGACUUCAAAGUGAAGACAAAUAUUCAUAUAAUAACUGACAUUGAGGUACGAAGGUCAGGGUAGCAAACCGGAUUCGAUACCCGAUUAGUCCUGACAGUAAACGAUGAAUGCUGAUAAAAACUAGAUAAUUAGGUUUUAUUAAGUGAAGACAAAGCAUUCCACCUGGAGAGUACAUUCGCAAGGAUGAAAUCCAAGACAUUAGGCGGUUACAGGCAUCAGCAGUUAAGC
rnacentral:rRNA from 1 species